rnacentral:lncRNA from 1 species
CCCCCCUUUUGCUGUUAAAUCCUGUUCUACUCUGGUUGAAACUAGCGGAGUAAUCUGACCUCAGAUCUUCUAAACGGCAAUCUGCAUUGAAACAGAGAGAGGAAAAUGAUCACGCCGAACAGAAUUGAAAACAUAGAUUGCAAAAUCACUUGAAGAGUUACAUUUCAAAAUAGUGGAAGCAAUUCAGCUGUAAACGAAUACUAUUUUGACUUGUGUGUUUUUUUCAGCAUAAAUCUCCAAUUUGAAAAAGGGGGAAACACAACAGAAAUUCGUAAAAACACAAACCGAAAAAAAAAUCCCAAUUCAGGAGUCCUCAGCCCCGCAGCAUCCCACCAAAACUCAAAACUUCCUCACCAAAUAGCAAUUGGCGAAAAAAACCAUCCACCAAAACAAGAACACGAACAGCUCCGGAACAAACGCUUCGGACCAAGACCACAAACCCCAAACCUGAAAUCAACCUCGAACCAACUCUUCCGCCAGAACUUACAAAGCACAAGAGACAGAAAAAACCAACAGAGCAGAGAUUGGAACAUCGCAUGGAGGAAUCCGUACCUUUGCUCUGCUCCUUCCCCCAGUCGCAGAAUCCACCAAACCUGUAUCUCUCUCCCCUCGCAACAACGAAAACGAGAACAAAAACCUCAGGUAAAUCGCUGCUGCCGCUACCACGAAAACAAACUUGGGUAAAAUCGCUCGAGUUCGGCGGAUGAUCGAACAGAAGAAAAAAUAAAAACCUCGGAGCCUUUCCCUAACCUCGCUAAGCAAACCAGAGUCGUCAAAAUGG